GAUGAAGAACGUAGCGAAAUGCGAUAAGUAGUGUGAAUUGCAGAAUUCAGUGAAUCAUCGAAUCUUUGAACGCACAUUGCGCCCCUCGGUAUUCCGUGGGGCAUGCCUGUUCGAGCGUCAUUUAACCCCUCAAGCCUAGCUUGGUAUUGGGUGCUUGUCCCGCCUCUAGCGCGGCGACUCACCUCAAAGUCAUUGGCAGCCCGCAUCUCGCCGGCCGUGAGCGCAGCACAGACGCGCUCUUGGCAACGACGGAUCGGCUCUCCAAAAGCUUAUUUCAACCACUGACCUCGGAUCAGGUAGGGAUACCCGCUGAACUUAAGCAUAUCAAUAAGCGGAGGA
rnacentral:misc_RNA from 1 species